GACGAACGCUGGCGGCGUGCUUAACACAUGCAAGUCGAACGGAAAGGCCCUGCUUUUGUGGGGUGCUCGAGUGGCGAACGGGUGAGUAACACGUGAGUAACCUGCCCUUGACUCUGGGAUAACUUCGGGAAACUGGGGCUAAUACCGGAUAGGAGCUCCUGCUGCAUGGUGGGGGUUGGAAAGGUUCGGCGGUUGGGGAUGGGCUCGCGGCUUAUCAGCUUGUUGGUGGGGUAGUGGCCUACCAAGGCGUCGACGGGUAGCCGGCCUGAGAGGGUGACCGGCCACACUGGGACUGAGAUACGGCCCAGACUCCUACGGGAGGCAGCAGUGGGGAAUAUUGCACAAUGGGCGGAAGCCUGAUGCAGCGACGCCGCGUGAGGGAUGACGGCCUUCGGGUUGUAAACCUCUUUCACCAGGGACGAAGCGAACGUGACGGUAACUGGAGAAGAAGCACCGGCUAACUACGUG
rnacentral:rRNA from 1 species